AUCUUGAAAACGGAAAAUAAAAACAGCAGACCUAUGAAGGUCAAAGGGGAAGUUAAGAAAAGCUGUAUCGAUUGUUGAGAUCUGGCGACUUGCUUAAAUUUCAUCAGCCUCACUUCUAUGGACUCUCAGGCCUCACGUGUACCAGCUCUCUGCUCUCCUUUGCCUUGGGACGUUCCAUCCCUGGAAGUUUCCCUGCCCACAUCUUUGUAGAGAGUCCAUUCUCCAAGCUUCAGUGUGUCAUCUGUUAGGACUAUGACCCACCUGGUACAUUACCUCAGGGCAUUCAUUUCAGGCUCCUUCUAAGUGGUCAAGAUCUUGCUUUCUUUUGUAUGUUUGCAAAGAAUAAAUAGUACACUUCCUUGAUCCGUGGUUCCUAAAGUGUGAUUCCCAACAAGCAGCAUCAGGAUCACCUGGAAACUUGAUAGAAAUAUAAAUUCUACAGUCCCUCCUUGGAGCUACAGAUUCAGAAAUUCUGAAGUUUAAUUCCAGCAAUUGGUUAUAAUAAGCUCUCUAGGUGAUUCUGACUCACACCAAGGCACCCUUGGAAAUGCAAUGCUAUAUCUCAAUGGGAUUUUCCAGUACAGAGAUUCUUUUCAAUAACAUAAUUGUGGAUACACACCACUCCUGUAGUGUCUUCUGUCAGCCUAACAAGCAUAGCAAGAAGAUAUAGCCCCACAACCACUUUAUGCACAUAGUUAGAAGCAUAAAAUCUCAUGGAAAGAGACCGAUUAUCCACAGAAGAUGUUGUCUUGCCAUUUCUCUCAUGUUAGAGGUAAACCUCAGGUUCUCCUCCUGCCUUUUGCUAAGUAUAUGUCUUGAUGACAAGCCUUCUGCUAAUGAGCUGUGUUUCUGGACCGAUCAUGGUAGAAGUCAAUUGAAGUGUCCCUCACUUGGGGUUUCUUAAGGCUGCACUGAUGAGGAAACUGAAACAGAAAAUCCAGAGUAAAUUCCACCAGGCCACACAGCAAGGUCUGAUAGAGCCAGGAGAGACUUUAUGAAAUCCAGACUCUCACACUAAUGCUCUAUCAGCUAGACCUCCAUGUGAGUCUCCCCAAUGUAGGUAGGAAGCACUUUCCC
rnacentral:lncRNA from 1 species